rnacentral:rRNA from 1 species
GAGUAGCGAAAGACGGGUGAGAAUCCCGUCCACCGAUUGACUAAGGUUUCCAGAGGAAGGCUCGUCCGCUCUGGGUUAGUCGGGUCCUAAGCUGAGGCCGACAGGCGUAGGCGAUGGAUAACAGGUUGAUAUUCCUGUACCACCUAUAAUCGUUUUAAUCGAUGGGGGGACGCAGUAGGAUAGGCGAAGCGUGCGAUUGGAUUGCACGUCUAAGCAGUAAGGCUGAGUAUUAGGCAAAUCCGGUACUCGUUAAGGCUGAGCUGUGAUGGGGAGAAGACAUUGUGUCUUCGAGUCGUUGAUUUCACACUGCCGAGAAAAGCCUCUAGAUAGAAAAUAGGUGCCCGUACCGCAAACCGACACAGGUAGUCAAGAUGAGAAUUCUAAGGUGAGCGAGCGAACUCUCGUUAAGGAACUCGGCAAAAUGACCCCGUAACUUCGGGAGAAGGGGUGCUCUUUAGGGUUAACGCCCAGAAG